rnacentral:rRNA from 1 species
AAAUUGAAGAGUUUGAUCAUGGCUCAGAUUGAACGCUGGCGGCAGGCCUAACACAUGCAAGUCGAGCGGUAGCACAGAGAGCUUGCUCUCGGGUGACGAGCGGCGGACGGGUGAGUAAUGUCUGGGAAACUGCCUGAUGGAGGGGGAUAACUACUGGAAACGGUAGCUAAUACCGCAUAACGUCGCAAGACCAAAGUGGGGGACCUUCGGGCCUCAUGCCAUCAGAUGUGCCCAGAUGGGAUUAGCUAGUAGGUGGGGUAACGGCUCACCUAGGCGACGAUCCCUAGCUGGUCUGAGAGGAUGACCAGCCACACUGGAACUGAGACACGGUCCAGACUCCUACGGGAGGCAGCAGUGGGGAAUAUUGCACAAUGGGCGCAAGCCUGAUGCAGCCAUGCCGCGUGUGUGAAGAAGGCCUUCGGGUUGUAAAGCACUUUCAGCGGGGAGGAAGGCGAUAAGGUUAAUAACCUUGUCGAUUGACGUUACCCGCAGAAGAAGCACCGGCUAACUCCGUGCCAGCAGCCGCGGUAAUACGGAGGGUGCAAGCGUUAAUCGGAAUUACUGGGCGUAAAGCGCACGCAGGCGGUCUGUCAAGUCGGAUGUGAAAUCCCCGGGCUUAACCUGGGAACUGCAUUCGAAACUGGCAGGCUAGAGUCUUGUAGAGGGGGGGUAGAAUUCCAGGUGUAGCGGUGAAAUGCGUAGAGAUCUGGAGGAAUACCGGUGGCGAAGGCGGCCCCCUGGACAAAGACUGACGCUCAGGUGCGAAAGCGUGGGGAGCAAACAGGAUUAGAUACCCUGGUAGUCCACGCCGUAAACGAUGUCGAUUUGGAGGUUGUGCCCUUGAGGCGUGGCUUCCGGAGCUAACGCGUUAAAUCGACCGCCUGGGGAGUACGGCCGCAAGGUUAAAACUCAAAUGAAUUGACGGGGGCCCGCACAAGCGGUGGAGCAUGUGGUUUAAUUCGAUGCAACGCGAAGAACCUUACCUGGUCUUGACAUCCACAGAACUUUCCAGAGAUGGAUUGGUGCCUUCGGGAACUGUGAGACAGGUGCUGCAUGGCUGUCGUCAGCUCGUGUUGUGAAAUGUUGGGUUAAGUCCCGCAACGAGCGCAACCCUUAUCCUUUGUUGCCAGCGGUUCGGCCGGGAACUCAAAGGAGACUGCCAGUGAUAAACUGGAGGAAGGUGGGGAUGACGUCAAGUCAUCAUGGCCCUUACGACCAGGGCUACACACGUGCUACAAUGGCAUAUACAAAGAGAAGCGACCUCGCGAGAGCAAGCGGACCUCAUAAAGUAUGUCGUAGUCCGGAUUGGAGUCUGCAACUCGACUCCAUGAAGUCGGAAUCGCUAGUAAUCGUAGAUCAGAAUGCUACGGUGAAUACGUUCCCGGGCCUUGUACACACCGCCCGUCACACCAUGGGAGUGGGUUGCAAAAGAAGUAGGUAGCUUAACCUUCGGGAGGGCGCUUACCACUUUGUGAUUCAUGACUGGGGUGAAGUCGUAACAAGGUAACCGUAGGGGAACCUGCGGUUGGAUCACCUCCUUA